UUUAAUACUUGAAUGCAAAUGGACAUGCAGAAAUGUGGUAGACAGCAGUGUGUUGAUGUAGGAUUGAGGCAGUGCAGAUUGGUCACAAACAAUGCUGUGUAAUGGCCUGCAGGAAAUGUUUUUCUCUUAUGAUAGUGUGUAAUGGCUUAAACUGUAAUGAAGGGCAAAACAUUAAGGCUCUAGGAAUGAGAAGUUUGCAUGCAGAUUGUGUGGCAUCUGCUGCACCUAUCAGCUAAUUGUCUUUCAGCUACUAUGCACCUGGAGAAACAAAUACCAGGAGACUAUGAAAACCAUAGGAGGUGGCACUCUAGACCACAGAGGCACUCCUUUAGUUACUCUUGGAGCACGGCGUUGAAAAUGGAGGUGCACUACCCUCUGUGUUCUCUGCAGCCAUUAACUUGGAUGCUCUUGGCUCUGAGGCCUCUUGCAGAAAGGUCCAGGCUCUUCUAACGUGGUUGGGUUUAGUUCAGAGGACGCCACUGUCCUUUUGACAUAGUUUACCCUGAAGUUGAGAAUUCAUCUUGGUUUUUGUUAUGUUUGAGAGAACUUUACCUGAGUUGGUAGUUCAGCUUUGGAAUUGUGUCAUAUUGAUGUCAACUGUGAUUUACAAGUAAGCACUAAUGUUUGUAUCAGUAAUAUUUUUUAAAAACAAACAUCCUGGAAAUAGCUGUAAAUGUAUUCCUCAUUCAGGUGUAGAGGUUGGUAGGAACUGAAAAUUUAUUGUUCUUGCAAUGGCAGUUGUUAAAAUCAGAUUUACUUACAGGUAAACUUGACCAAUAGCGUGGAUGAACCUUUAUGUGCUCAUGUCUGUUCUGUGUCUCUGAAUUAAAAUACCACCAGUAUAUAUAUUUGGCUGUAGCUGACAGCCAGAGAGACCUUUCUUGAUGUAAACAAGUGAGGUGAAGGAAUCCUGUAAGCAGGAUUCUGUGUUAUAGUGUUUGUAUAUAUAUAUAUUACCCUUCUCUUCCCUUUAUUGAAGAGGCAAUAACUUUAAAGUGAUCAGUUUUUGAAGUGCAGUGUAAACGUAGAUUUCAAGUAAUGCAGUUAGAACACAUGGUGUGAAUGUCUGAACUGGAAUGUGGCUUGUUGGAGAGCAAAUAAUGUUUGCUGUGUGUCUGAUCUGUGCUGACUGUUUCUCCAGGGCUGAGAAAGGGGUUAAGGGAGACUAAUGAGCGUAUGGAUCUAGCUUUUGCUUCCCAAAUAUGUUACAGACACUCUUCCUCACUUACAGAGGGUCAUUCAAGUUACCUUUUGUGUGUGUGUGCUCAACUUGAAGCAGGAAUUUUGGCUGAACAAAAGGAAGGAGAAUCCCAGAACAUUUUCCAGAAACUUGAGAGAAACCAACUUCUCUGCCUCAACAGCCAUUAUUAACUUGUUUUUUUCCAAGCCAAAUGCUAAAAAAUUGUGACUCAGAAAAGAGGUUCCCUGUGCUCUCCUUGUCAGUGAGAAGUACUGUAUAGCCUAUACAUCUUUUGAAGGACCCCAGUUUCCUUGAGACCUGGUUAAGAAUAAGACUUGGGUUUUUAAGUGUUUGAUUGCCUUGCUACUGCCCAAGUCAUGACGCUCCCAUUUCGAAAGGACUUGGACAAGUACAAAGAUCUUGAUGAGGAUGAGAUUCUUGGCAAACUUUCAGAAGAAGAACUGAAACAACUGGAAACUGUUUUGGAUGAUCUUGACCCUGAGAACGAGCUCCUACCCGCAGGCUUCCGACAGAAAGACCAGACGGCUAAAAAGGCCUCGGGCCCCUUCGACAGGGAACGACUCCUUGCCUAUUUGGAGAAGCAGGCUCUUGAGCACAAAGACAGGGAAGACUAUGUGCCUUUUACCAGAGAAAAGAAAGGGAAAAUAUUUAUCCCCAAGCAGAAGCCUGUCCAGUCUUACACAGAAGAUAAAUUCUCUCUUGAUCCAGAACUGGAGGAAGCCUUGACCAGUGCCACAGACACAGAAUUAGGUGACCUUGCAGCUAUACUGGGCAUGUCCAACUUGAUAACAAACAAUCAGUUCUGUGAUGUAGUAGGAAGCAGUAAUGGGAUUGACAAAGACAGCUUCUCAAAUAUAGUAAAAGGUGAAAAAAUGUUGCCUGUUUUUGAUGAGCCACCAAAUCCCACCAAUGUGGAGGAGACACUGCAGAGGAUUAAAGAUAAUGAUUCUCGUCUUGUUGAAGUGAAUCUAAAUAACAUUAAGAACAUACCAAUUCCAACGCUGAAAGAAUUUGCAAAAGCCUUAGAAACCAACAAGCAUGUGAAGAGUUUCAGCCUUGCAGCCACCCGAAGCAAUGACCCUGUUGCUGUUGCCCUUGCAGAUAUGCUGAGAGUAAACACAAAAUUAAAAAGUUUAAACAUAGAAUCAAAUUUCAUCACUGGAGUUGGAAUUUUGGCACUGGUCGAUGCACUGAAAGACAAUGAAACAUUGACAGAGAUCAAAAUUGACAAUCAGAGGCAGCAGCUGGGCACACUUGCAGAAGUAGAAAUUGCCAAGAUGCUUGAAGAAAACACCAAGAUCCUCAAAUUUGGAUACCAUUUCACACAACAGGGACCUCGAGCCAGGGCAGCUGCAGCUAUCACAAAAAAUAAUGAUUUGGUCUGGACUGUGCGAGUUAAAGUUUCUUCAAAUACCUUUUCACCUCUCCAGCCCUGAAGCUCCAGAGACAGGUUACUCUGAAUUCCCAGCUGGGUGCUGAGCACUGAAAACAGAUGUUCAAAGUCUCUCAUUUCUGCCUUUUUCGCAAGAGAAGGGUUGAAGGAGACAACUAGCAGAUCUUGUUGUCAGACCUGUGUGGAGAUUUCAAGGGUUGUCAAGGCAUGUUCAUCACUGUGGGCUUUGGCAUUCCUGGACUGCAUUUACCUGGGUUAGAAGGGAAAAGACUGGAAACCCCAUUCCUUUUAAAGCAAAGCUCUGUCAGUUAUCUGCUGGUAGGCGUCAGGUUUUUCAGAUUGAGACACAGUAACUGCUCCAGUCUCUGUACCAUAGUUCUUGGUGGUUUUUUUAAGAACUUUUUUUGUAUUUCAAGACUUCGACUGUGUUUUCUACUAAAAAUGUAAUUACAAAUUAGUGGUAUGAUUGUCUGUAGUCAAAGAAUGGAACAUUCAAUCCUUGGGCUGAUAAUGACUCAAUUGAAAUGUUUGUUAGAAAAAUCUGGGGGUGCUUAUUUACAUUGAGGGGUGUGUAUAUUACUGAGAACAAUGCAUUAGUUAUAAGGGAUUCUUCACACAACAGUUGGGCUCAUUGUGUAGAGCUGUUCAGCCUUGUUCAUAUGCACUGAAGAGAAAUCUUUCACAGCUAUCUUAUUUGUAAUUCUACUUGUAAAAAUUUGUAUUAGUUCUUGAUACUGUGAUUAAGUUCAAGGAGAUCCCUUUAAACCAAACAAAAAUAAAUUGGCUAAGGAGUUCUCCCAAGAGAUUUAAGGGACUAAUAAAAAAGUGGAAGCCUUGCAAAAAAAAAAAAAAAAAUAGUAGAAACCUUUCCAAAUGACAGUUUCUCUAUUACACCUAAAUCCUUAAGGUCUUUUUCAAAGGAUUGGAUAGCUGCAUCUUGCCCUUGCCCUGUAUCUAAACUGGAUAUGUUUUUAGACUGAUUACAUGUCUUCAUCAACAUUAUUUAGUCUUUAUUCUUUGUUUAAAAAUCCUUAUCUACAUUCAUAAGUAUCAAUUUUUUUAGAAGUAGUGGACAUGCAUUUGUUAAAUUCUGCAUAAAGCUCUAGAGGAACAGCAGCCUUAACUGUAAAACCACUGCCCUAAGUUGAUGGAAAAUGAAAAAAUCACUUUUUUCAAGCUAUUGCAUUAAGCUAUUAGUACUUCAUAUAAAUUUAUCAUUUUUUAAUAAAGCAAUGAAGUAACAGUUUCAAGAAAUGAUUUUUCUAGUCCAGUUAUUUCUUGAUGUUGAAACAGUACAUAAGGCAUGCAGAAAUUAACCAAUAUGCAGUGUCAAAUAGUAAUAAAGUAUUUAAAGUUUAUUUAUCUAAGCAAACUCAUAAGUCAACAAGACUCACUUCAACUUCUGUACAUCAUCACAGUAGAGUACUUUGAAAUAAUAGGAAAAUCUAGAGGCUUUUUGGUGUAGGUCUGAUUGCACUAGAAUGGUUUGCUCAAUAUCAUGAGAUCAUAAACUCUCAAAAAUGUUCUUAAGGGCUGCUGGGCUAUAUUCAUAGCAACAGAGAAUUCAACUGACAACUGUUUUCUUGAAGGAUCAUAAUAUGGUGAGCAUCUUAUGUAUAGAAAACAUAUUGGACUGAAAUUUUUGCAUCAGGUUGUAUAUACUAUAGCAAUUUCCCAGAGCAACUCUGACACUGUGCCCAUGGUGUCGUUUGCUGCAAAUCUUUUGGAUCUUCAAAACUAGGCUUUGCUCUGGGAGUGGCUUAGAAUUCUACUGCAACUGUACAGAUAAUUUGAAACUACAGUGCCUUCAGUGAGGAUGUAUAUAACUGGCUUAUACUUGUGGAAGAACAUUUGUUUUUCCUAUUUCAAAAUCAGCUUUUUAUUACAACUACAAAUAGAUAUGUGCUGUGCAAAGCAAGUCAGAAUUAAUUCUGUUGAAACCAAAGACUAUCCAUACUGUAACUUUGAAACAACUAGCAGUGAUCUGACUGGUAAUAAAACGAGCUUCUUUUGGUUUUAA